AGAUACUGGUAUCUGUGUGUGUUCUCCGGUCGUGCUUGCGUUCCUGGCUAGAGCAGGAUAUGUCAUGUCCCACAUGUAGGAUGUCUGUAAAUAUGAGUGGCAGUCAUACCAGAAAUGAACAGGAGGUGGCAUCAUUGUCAGUCAGUUUGGGCCCAGCUGCUGUGGCAAACACAAAUAGAGCUCCAAGCAAUUACCAAAGUCACCUCUUCCAUUUUGAUGGUUCCCAAAUCGCUAAUCUGCCUGGCAUUUCAGUUGAAUUUUUGCACUCUCCUAAUAUGAUUGAUGUUCAAUUGCAGACAGACUCACAGGCACACCAGGAAUAAAUGUUUCCUCUGGUAUAACUACCCGAGUGACCAUUUAUAGACGUUUCGAAACCAACAAAUUAAGAAGAAUGUGCCACUGACUGCAUUUCUCUGUGCCUCUCUUGACAAAUAUAAAUUGCUCUCCUGAGCAGAUCAAAAGAAUGAACCAUUGAGUUC